GCAGAAUUUAGAAACACAACACUUCCUAAACAGAUAUUUUGAGGCUGUGAGGUUGAACGUUUGAGAGUAUAUCAGUGUGUUUGUUUGUGGUCUUUCUGUUUCUAGGUGGAAGCUGAAUUAGUGAGGAUGACUCCUGCUCCUGUCAUCUCUAAGCUCCUCACACAUCUUUACCUGCACAUGAGGAAAAUCACUCCUGUAGAAUGCAGGUAUGUUUGUCAUUAUUAUAAAAAGAUGUUGCCUGGUGACCUGUCAGAAACCCAUCAUACAGAGUCAGCCAAAAUAAUGUUUACACACAUCAGGAAAAGAAAAACUUGCAUAAAUAUUUCAAUACCAAAUUUAUUCAGACAUCACGAGAUUAAUAAAAGUUAUCUUUGGCCUCUACAAUUACAAGAGGUGCUCAAAGUGGUGGCCACUGGCUUCCAGACAUUUCUGUUGUGUUGUAGACGUCACUUGUUGAUGCUCCAUUCAUGAGGGUAGCGCCAUCUGUUGGGAAAACAUCGUACAACAGGACACAGAGUUAUCGUGAUUUGAUCAAACUUAGAAAGAGGAAUCUAUAUGUAUAGAAGUACUUAUACAAAUGAAAUAUUUAUAAAAGUUUUUCUUUUCCUGAUGUGUGUACAUUAUUUUGGCUGACUCUGAACUUAAUGAGAACAAAACUGUCAUUUAAUUGUUGCUUUGAAAGCUUCUUUAGUGAAAACCAGCUGGUGUUCUGCUUUGAAACAAACUGCUGUUGAGGUCUGUGUUUUUAGGUUUAACCCCACAGUUUCUGAAUGAACUGAUUGUUUUUUUUCCUGAUCAAUGUGGACGUUAUAAUUGAUGGUAACAUUUACUGAUCAUAUAAUCAGCAUGACAAUAUAACAGUAUAACAUUCUGACCACCUGACUAAUACUGUGUUGGUCCCUUUAUGCUGCUAAAACUCCUCUGACCCAGUGGUUCAUCAGAACCUCUGGGGAUGUCCUGUGGAUUCUGUGGAUCCUGUGGGUUGCAGGGUGGGUCCUACCUAGACCAGGCUGAUCCUGGACCAUCCCACAGAUGCUCAAUCAGAUCUGGAUGUGGGGAGUGUGGAACCCAGAUGUUCAGAGGGAGAUGAUGCCACAUCUGGUCCAGCUGAUGGAAGGUCUUGAAGUUCUCUGACUGGCCUCGACUGAAGAUGGUCGUCUCACUGGAUUUAAGGUUCAGAUGCUCAGUAACAAACUCCACCAAUGAGCCAACAGGGAAGCUUUAGGUUUAUUAAAUGUUGCUAUGAAGGUUUCGCUGUUUUUCUUUGUGAAUGCAAUGUGCUCCAACUGAAACUUGAAUUAGAACUUAGAAGUAAAUCCUUCCAUCUGAAAGGAUUUAGUUGCAUUAAUAACCUCAUAACAUUCUAAUUUUUAUUCCAGUCUUGGUUGGAAAUAGAAUCUCUGUAUUGAUUCAGGUAAAAACUGAACUUCACAGCAUGUUGGAGCAAAACAACCAGAUGAAAACUGUGAUGGUGUUGGAUUGUCAGACCGUAAUGUUGCAGCUCAAAGCAGCUUUUCUAGCUCAGUUCAUUCUGACAUUCAGCUAUGAAUCAACACAGCAGAUGGUGAUCCAUGCUGUGGAAGUCUCACAUCUCCUGAUUUAAUGGAGCUGCUUUGCACUUUUUACACUGUUUAUUCACCAACACUUUAUUUAAUAAAAGUCCCAUCUAGUUUUUAUGAGGAAUGUGAUGUUUUAAUUUCUCUGUGAAUAACUGCAGUCUAAUGCAACAGCUGGAGUUGUAACAUCUGUCCUGAUAUUGAUCAUGAAGUAUUGAUCAGAAUACUUAUGGUCAGCAGUCAUCCCUGAAGUUUUACAUUAAAAUCUUUACUUGUGUUGUGAACUUUGGUAAGAAGCAGAAACGUUAGCGUUGCCAUGGAUACAUGAGUGUUAAAUUCUGUCCAUGUUUCCAUUUUGGGAAAUUCAGUCCAGUUCCAGAAUGUGGAGGAAUUUAGUCUCACAAUCACAGACAACAAAUAUUAUCUGAAAGUGGGUUAUUGUUGUUUAUCAGCACAAUACAAAAAGAUUAAUGUUAGAAAUAUUCCAGUUAAGACUCUAGAAUAUCAUGAUUUAUGUAAAUUUACCUCAAUAAUAUGAAUGUUCAGGUUAAGAUUGUACAGUGAUAUUUAUUAUGUAAGUUUAGCUGAUUAAAGUUUAUGACUCUGCACUAAAAUAUUAUUUAAAUUGACACAUUAUUAUAAUAUUUAGGGUCAGACCCUACAGUAUUGAGAUUAAGAAAUCAAAUAUUCUAUAAAAUGUAAAUACACUGAACUCAUUUGGAUAUAUUUAAGUGAGACUCUACAAUAUUAUUUGACACAAAUCUAUCUAAAUCAAAAUUUUAAUAAUUUUAUCCAAACAUUUACUGGACUGAUUUAAAUAUUAAAAUCACUCCUUUCUAAUCCUCUGCUGUACGUUCAAACCUGAGGCCUUAAAUAGAAACACACAAGUAUCUGAUUGAAGGAACUUCUGCAGAGUCCUGGUUCCAGAACAUGAUGAUAGAAUUAUAGACAAACUUUAACAAAAGCUGCCUGAGAGUUUACAGGUUUUUAUGUUGAUUUCUUCAGUAAUUUAAUGAGCGUUAUCAGCAAAAAUCAAGUGUUCAUUUGAUGAACUUCAUUUCCUAAAACAUCCAGAAUUGGAGCUCAUAUCUUUGGCAGCUGUAAAGUUUCUGCUCCUUCAAAGUUCACAACACAAUGAAUGAAUUCCUAAAACACUCUCAAUGCUGGAGAGCGUUUGUGAUGCUGAAGCAGUGAUCAGUUUUUCUGUUUCUUCUCUGGAGAUGCACAAUGAGGGACGUCUGCAGAGACUGAGAAAGAGUCUCACCACAUCCUGACAUGAGGAAAAAGACUUUAUUGAAGACUACAAUGAGAAAAACUAUCAGACAGCAGACGGCUGCAUUCAAGGCUACAGGAGGAGCCCUACGAGGACGAGCCGGUCCACCUGAUGGUGGCCAGUCGCUGCGGUUCAAAGCCAACACCGACUACGUGGACUUCUACUGGACCACAUGGAGGCCUUCAAACCGGACCAACAAGUUCAGCGACUCCCCGACUCGUGGGUCUGAGGACGCCGAGCCUCGGUCCAGCCGGCCUCCUGUCUGUGGGUGUUUGAGUGCUGAGAGGUUUGUGGAUGCAUGUGAACGUUCUGUGUUGAAACAGCAGCUUUGGACUCAGUAACGCCGGGAAAAACCAAGAGCUCCUUUAUUUGUGACUUCCACUAAAAAACUGAUGAAAAUAAGUUUGCCAGGGUUCUGACUGAUAACAGAUUAUUAAAUAAUGAAAAUAAUCGUUUAAAUAUUCCUUUAAACAAUCCUUUUAGGUCUACAUUUCCUUUACACUGACUUCUUGGUAUAUGUACAAGUAUUUUGGGUGGAAUAUACCAUUAAGCCCAAUGUUCAAGGGUUCUUCUGGGAAUAUACCAUUAAACCAACCUUUUAGGUAAAUGUUCCAGGAUGUUGGGUAGAAUAUACCAUCAGAUCAACCUUUUAGGUCUACAUUGGAAGAUUUUAGAGUAGAAUAUUACUCCAAACCAUCCUUUAGGUCUACAUUUAAGGUGGAAUACUCCUUUACACCAAGAUUUUUUGGUCUACAUUGAAGGAUUUUAGGUGGAAUAUUCCUUUGAACGAACUUUUUAAGUUUAUGUUCAAGGAUGUUGGGUGGAAUAUACCAUCAGACCAACCUCCAAGGUCUACAGUAGUGAAUUUUAGGUGGAAUAUACCAUUAAACUCACCUUUUAGGUCUACAUUGGAGGAUUUUAGGUGGAAUUUUCUUCCAAACCGUCUUUUAGUCUACAUUUAAGGAUGUUUAGGAUGGUAUAUUCUUCCGAACCAACUUCUCAGGUCUACAUUUCAGGUGGAAUAUUCCUCCAUACUAACUUUUUUGGUCUACAUUGAAGGAUUUUUUCUAAACCACCCUUUCGGGUCUAUAUUUGAGGUUUUAGGUGGAAUAUUCCUUUUAACCAGCCCCUCAGGUCUCUUUGAGGAUUUUGGAUGGAAUACUCGGUUAAACCAACAUUUUAGGUGCAUGUCCAAGGAUUUUUGGUGGAAUGUUCCUUUAAGGUGGAUGUUUGAGGACCUUGUAGGUGGAAUACUUCCUGAAACCAACCUUUUAGGUCAACAUUCAAAGAUUUAAGGUGGAAUAUUCCUUUAAACCAACCUAAAUUUCAUGUUUUGAUCAUUAUCAAGUGAGAAACCUCAAUCCAGACUCCUCAUAAUGACGUUUGAGAUUUAUGCUGCUGUUAUUUGUUUAGUCCAGACUAAAUGACAGAAAUCCACAACUGUAAUUUUAUUUCAGGACUCGGUUAUUAAAUGUCAAAACAAUCCAUGUGACUCUAAAAACUCAACAGCUUUACAAACUCUAAGAUUAAACUCUCCACAAGGAUCCAAAAUAAGUUGGACUUCUACAUGAGAGCUUUAAUUAUUC